ACCGGACCAUAGGUGGACGUUUAAGUCUUUGAAGCGUAGGGUUUAGGUUAUGAUUUAUCGAUAGCGCUCUCAUCUCCCUCUCCCCUUCCCAAACAUUCGAAUCAUUUUCCCAAAUCUCCCUAGGGUUAGGGUUUUCUCUGUUUCUUUCGCGUGAUUUUCGUUUGCAGGUACUCGAGGAGACGCAAACAAUCCACUAUGGCGAAGUACCGAAGCCGGAGUAGAAGUUACAGCCCUCGUCGGCGUAGCCGAACCCCACCACGAGGGCGGAAGCGGUACGACGACGACCCUAGAGACCGGUACCGCGAAAGCAGGUCUCAUAGGGACCGUCGCUCUCCUGCUCCUUCUGGGUUACUCGUGCGUAAUCUCCCCCUUGAUGCUAGGCCGGAAGAUCUUAGGAUCCCGUUCGAGCGUUUUGGUCCUGUUAAGGAUGUGUAUCUUCCGAAAAACUACUACACUGGGGAGCCCCGAGGGUUUGGGUUUGUGAAGUUUCGGUUUGCAGAAGAUGCAGCUGAAGCAAAACAACAACUGAAUCAUACAGUUAUAGGUGGACGGGAGAUACGAAUUGUGUUUGCUGAGGAGAACAGGAAAACUCCACAAGAAAUGCGUGUGACUUCACGCUCAAGUGGCAGAAGCAGCAGAAGGCGUUCUCCAGCAAGGUCUCCGCGACGGCGAUAUCAUUCUUACUCACGCUCACCUUCACCUGCCAGGCAUGACUCAAGGUUGGAUCUUAUCUGUCAUACUUAUUCUGCUACUAGCAAGACUAAAAUCAUUAUUGUCCUGCUGUUUCCGUUACUCCUUACUUCUAUACCGUGUUUUGAAAUAUUGGUUGGUCCUAUUAUGAUGAUAAGUAAACUGUGCAUGCCUUCUUCUAACUAUAUAAUUUUGUUCUUUAACAUGUCAAAGCAUUCUUUUUGGAUGAGAAACAUUGCAUAAUAUUUUGAAUUUUGGCACUUGUCUUAUAGAGUAUUCAAACCUCCAAUUGAAGUACAUGUUCAUUGUUUUGAUUUUCAGUCUAACCAAAAUGAUUUUGUCUGCCAUUGGGUGAAAAUCAAUUUUAUAGAAAUAUUUCAAUAAACUCAGCUUACUUCGAUUUACUCAACCUGAACCUCAUGAGUUCUGUUUUGUUCAAAAAACUUCUUGAAGUUAUCAAUGGUGUGUCAGUUUUAAAAAGCACGAUCCAUUUCUAAUGGAUGAAUUAUCCUUGUUCCUAUGUCAUGCGGUGAUGUGUUUAGUCAGUAAAUCUAAGUGGCGCUUUGCUGUGGUUUCAAUUGCUGACUAAAUAUUAGGGUCAUAGUCCAAUAAUAAUAGUGGCACUUUUAAUCUUCAUUUCCUCAUCAGGUUUAUAAUAUCAGCCCAAUAUAUUAAAUCUAAGCAACACUUUCAUUUUUUUGAUGUUCUCCAUGCUUUAAUGUAGAAUUUUAUUUCAUUUGCUUUAAUGUUAUCAUGGUUAACCAAAAAGAUUUAAAUUUAAUAUUUGAUUUGAUGCACGUGAAAUAUUCUACUCCCUACAUAGUACGGAGUUGCAUUGCAGGAGAUCGUGUACAAUCUACUUAAUUCCUUGUUUAUGCAGAUAUUAAAGUGUAAAGGGAGACUUUAAAGACUUGUUGAUUAAUAAAGUUUAACAAGAAAAGCGAUCAUAAAGUGAUGGGCACUUGCUUACUUUACCUAUCGAACCCUCUCCAUGAUUAAGAAAGAUUAGAGCUUAUAGUUGGCCAAAGAAAGAAAUCAUCUUCAAAGGAGAAAAAGCCAAAGUUUUUCUGGUUGUGGUAUGGUGACAUUGUCCAAGAAAAGAUAAUGUGAUUUUUAGAAAGUUGGGGCAAA